UACGUAGGGUGCAAGCGUUAAUCGGAAUUACUGGGCGUAAAGCGUGCGCAGGCGGUUUUGUAAGUCUGUCGUGAAAUCCCCCGGGCUUAACCUGGGAAUGGCGAUGGAGACUGCAAGGCUAGAGUUUGGCAGAGGGGGGGUAGAAUUCCACGUGUAGCAGUGAAAUGCGUAGAGAUGUGGAGGAACACCGAUGGCGAAGGCAGCCCCCUGGGUCAAAACUGACGCUCAUGCACGAAAGCGUGGGGAGCAAACAGG
rnacentral:rRNA from 1 species